rnacentral:misc_RNA from 1 species
GAUGAAGAACGUAGCGAAAUGCGAUAAGUAGUGUGAAUUGCAGAAUUCAGUGAAUCAUCGAAUCUUUGAACGCACAUUGCGCCCGCCAGUAUUCUGGCGGGCAUGCCUGUUCGAGCGUCAUUUCAACCCUCAAGCUCAGCUUGGUGUUGGGACUCGCGGUAACCCGCGUUCCCCAAAUCGAUUGGCGGUCACGUCGAGCUUCCAUAGCGUAGUAAUCAUACACCUCGUUACUGGUAAUCGUCGCGGCCACGCCGUAAAACCCCAACUUCUGAAUGUUGACCUCGGAUCAGGUAGGAAUACCCGCUGAACUUAAGCAUAUCAAAAGCGAGGA